rnacentral:ncRNA from 1 species
GGUGUGCUGCUGCUGCUGCUGCUGCUGCUGCUGCUGCUGUUGCUGCUGCUGCUGCUGCUGCAGCUGCAGCUGUUGCUGCUGUUGCUGCUGCUGCUGUUGCUGCUGUUGCUGCUGCUGCUCCUGCUGCUGCUGCGGCUAUACUGGUGUAGGGGCAGCUUACGCUGCCCAGCUGCUGCUGCAGCUGCUGCUGCAGCUGCUGCUGCAGAAGCAGCUGCAGCAGCAGCUGCAGAAGCAGCUGCAGAAGCAGCUGCAGAAGCAGCUGCAGAAGCAGCUGCAGAAGCAGCUGCAGCAGGUGCAGCAGCAACUGUAG